GACGAACGCUGGCGGCGUGCUUAACACAUGCAAGUCGAGCGGUAAGGCCCUUUCGGGGGUACACGAGCGGCGAACGGGUGAGUAACACGUGGGUGACCUGCCCUCAGCUCUGGGAUAAGCCUGGGAAACCGGGUCUAAUACCGGAUAUGACUCCAUGACGCAUGUUGUGGGGUGGAAAGCCUUGUGCGGCUGAGGAUGGGCCCGCGGCCUAUCAGCUUGUUGGUGGGGUGAUGGCCUACCAAGGCGACGACGGGUAGCCGGCCUGAGAGGGCGACCGGCCACACUGGGGACUGAGACACGGCCCAGACUCCUACGGGAGGCAGCAGUGGGGAAUCUUGCGCAAUGGGCGAAAGCCUGACGCAGCGACGCCGCGUGAGGGAUGACGGCCUGGUGU
rnacentral:rRNA from 1 species